ensembl:lncRNA
CCCCCGGGACCGCGGACAGCGCUGCCCGAGCCUCCCUGGCCGCCCGCCGGCCUCCCCGCGUCCCCAGGUUCCAUUCUGUUACAGGCCAUUGCAGAGUACUGUGUAGAGUUCCCUGUGCCAGACGGGUGCUUUAAAGAUAGCAGAGCAGAUGACAAGACCCUUGAAAGCACUGAGGAAUUUACUGCCCGUGUGACUAGCAAGUCAUCACCUGGCGCCGCCGACCCCAGCUCCUCUUCUGCAAGGCGGCCUGGUCACCGCCUCGCGCGGAACUAAGCGCGUGCUCCGGAGCCUCUCCAGGGCCGAGGUCGGGAGGCGGAGGCGGUGGCUCCCCCAGCGGUUCACAUCUAUUUCCACAGGACAGGUAGGACUCGGGGUUCAACCUAGACAAUGAGGCAUGCCCGAGUGUGAGCGGAAACCUCCAGUGUGCUGGAAGGACACAGUAAUCGAUACUUUCUUUUCAAGGGCGCUGAUAAUGUCCAUGUCUUAUUUCAUCCUCAGAGAAGUCCUGAGAGGUGGCUGAGGCCGUGGUUCUCCUCACGGGUUACAGGGGCAAGAAAACUGCAGAGUCUGCGGGCUGGGCGGCAUUGCUGCAGCUCAGUCAAGUGACUGCGGGCGCCUCAGGCAGCGGGUCAAGGUGGGGCUGGAGGGCAGAGGCCGCUUCCCAUGGGACCCCACGGGCUCUUUCUGCCGCACCCGCUCUGGUCACUGGUCGCCGCGGAGGUGCCGGGCACGGGCCCAGGGGCUACUUAACACCACAGUCAGAAAAUCAACAGGGAACUAGGACAAACGCAUGAGAGCACAGGAUGCCCAGCGGUGACAAGUGCCCUGGAGGUAGCCUCGGGGAUGAGACCGCGGGGAGGGCGCUGCUGGGGACACAGGAGCACGCGGGCGGCCGGGUGUGAGCAGGGCCGCGGGUCAGCGGGGUCUCACGGCCUCUCCCCGCUGCUCCAUCCGGGGCGCAGGACUGCCUGGCUCCAGGCCGGGAGGUGGUCCCGGAGCUCCAGAGCCCGGCCUCGUGCUCCCGGGGUGAGGCCCCCAUGCUGGGCGGGGACCAGGAGGCGGAGAGGGGGGGUUCACCCGCCGACCUCACGGCCCCACGAGCCACCGGGCAGCAGUGCGGUCCCCGCCCCGGGCACGCGCGCCCGGCCGGCGCCCGGAGCCGGCUGCCCCGGCGCGCGCGGGGCCAGCCUGUAGGGAGCUGGUUACCUGCCCGCCCGAGGGGAAGCGAAACUGCGCCCGCGGCCUCUGCCGGGGGAUCACUGCGGGCCCGGGGCUCCGCCGGGUGUCUCCGCGGGGCGCGGCGGGGGAACCGAGGCGUGGUCGGGCUGCGUUCCCGGCGAGUGCGGGACCGGCGGCCCUUUCCUGGUCCAUCUCGGUCGGAGGAACAGACCUGGGCCGUGAAGGGCGCGUCCCGGCCUGGUUCCCUAGAGGCCAGAGAGCUCCGCCCCACCCCACGCUCGUGGUACGGCCCGCGCCCCCUGCACGCGGUGGUAU